AGCGGCGGUUCAGGCGCAUCCACCACCAGGGUGGAGAGUCUCUGCACAGCGAUCACCAGCUUCUCCCUUUUCGCCAGCAGUGGGGCUGCAGACAGCACUGUCCCGGGGAAUCCGAAGAGAAGUCCCCUCACCUCCACUGACACUCGUCGCCUCCUCCACAGCAAACAGAACCCCCUGGGUGUCCUUUCCCUCCUGGUGCCCCGCCCUCCCAGGGCGCUUGGGUCCCCGCGCCUGCAAAAGGGGGGGACCUGCCAGCAAGCCCUCAUCGCCGCAGCUGGAGCGACAGCCACCGCUGGGCUCAGAGACACUUAGUGGAGAGGAGAGGGAGGGGGCGAAGGCAGGGCGGGAGACGCGGGGCGGGGGGAUGGAGCCAAGAGGAAGAAAUAAAUAAAUAAAACAAUAACCUCCGCGCCAAUAAGAGCGAGGGAGAGAGAAAGACGCGGCCAGAGAGCCACCGGUGCCAGUCCGCUCGCCUGUGACAGGCUCUCGGCGCGCGCGUGUGUGUGCGUGAGUGUGUAUUCGCUGGGACUGGAGCUGGAAAGUUCAAACUAAACGUGUUGCUCUCCCGGGUGGCCGAGGCUCGCCACGGAGGCUCUGCCCAACUUCUCUGGGCCAAGUGACUGGCAGUGCCCGUCGCCCUUGGCGCGUCGCAGGCUGCUCGGCCCCGCGCCCGGGCGCAGCGGCGGCCGCUGCUCCGGUCAACCUGGGAAGGAGCCCGCGGCCAGGGCUGGACGCUCGCCCCGACAGAUCGCAGACUCUCGGGGUUCUGAGCUAGCACCCUGGCAACCGGAGAAAGAAUUGAACCCAGUAAUCAUAAGAACUAAAGGAAAGAGAUAAAAAUAACCUGUGGAUAUUCCUCUACUGUGACAUUUAUUCUGGACAAAACAUUGGAACAGCUCACAGAUGUGGAUAACUGUAAGUAUGUUCUAAUGAGCUAAGAUAAUUUUUUAUUAAUUCAUAAUAUUACAUUAUAUAAAUUCUUCCAAAAUUGAAUAAUAAAAUUUGUUUCUUAGUUACAGAAUAUUGUAAACUUUUGAAAUGAAAGGUGAGAGGAAAACAAGAGUAUAUGUAUGGAAAACAUUCUGACAAUAAAAUCACUAAAUUUUAGAAAAAAUAAUGUAAACAAAAUAAAGGACAAAAUGUCAAAUGUUUUCUGUCCAAAUGAUCAUUUGCAGAAAAACAUUUAGGUAUAAAAUUGUUUGGUUUGAGAAAUUAAAAUCUUUAUAAAAAUCAUUUGAAAGAGGAGCAGGCUUUCUCUUACAAAGAAUUUCAAUACUAUUUAGUAUUAAACAGUAGCUAGAAUGAAAGGCUUCUACGAGACCAGUUGUUUAAAAUUGGUGAGACUUUUCAUCUAUAAGAAUGGCCAUAAUGGUAGAGCCAAGUUCAAUUAAUGGAAGGGUCCCUCUGCCUAAUUAGUUUAGCAAGUAUUCUUCCCGCCAAACAUCUGCUAUUUAAGGACACAAAACCUUUCCCUGCCUACAGAGAAAAAUAAAAGCUUGUAAACUGCCCUAAGGACUUGAUGUGAUCUAAAAACAAUGGACUUUCCACUUAUCAUUGCACAGCACUUUAGUGUAAUUUGGGGUUAAGGACCCUUAUGCUUGGUAAAAAUGUUGAAUUUUAAGAGCGCCUUUAUAUUUGACUGUAGUCUGAUCAAAAUGCCUUUGAUCCCGUGACUUUCACAUGAAAAUCAGACCUUAGGAUGCAAAAAAGAGAGACAGGAUUUAAUAAUGGAAAUUUGGAAAUCCCAGAUAACAAUGGAUUAUUCAGGUUUUAAUAUAUAUAUAUAUAUAUGUAUAUAUGUAUAUAUCUUGGCUGAUACUCAAUUAGAGACCAUCUUCAAUAUGACUGACUGACCUGCCUCCAGCUUAGCUGAUGGCUGCAGAUUUGAAUGUCAAA
rnacentral:sRNA from 1 species